UCCCUCGUGGCUCAGACGGUAAAGCAUCUGCCUGCAAUGCGGGAGACCCAGGUUCGAUUCCUUGGCCAGGGAA
rnacentral:tRNA from 1 species